GACGAACGCUGGCGGCGUGCUUAACACAUGCCAGUCGAACGAAGAGCGAUGGAGGCUUGCUUCUAUCAAUCUUAGUGGCGAACGGGUGAGUAACGCGUAAUCAACCUGCCCUUCAGAGGGGGACAACAGUUGGAAACGACUGCUAAUACCGCAUACGAUCUAAUCUCGGCAUCGAGGAAAGAUGAAAGGUGGCCUCUAUUUAUAAGCUAUCACUGAAGGAGGGGAUUGCGUCUGAUUAGCUAGUUGGAGGGGUAACGGCCCACCAAGGCGAUGAUCAGUAGCCGGUCUGAGAGGAUGAACGGCCACAUUGGGACUGAGACACGGCCCAGACUCCUACGGGAGGCAGCAGUGGGGAAUCUUCCGCAAUGGACGAAAGUCUGACGGAGCAACGCCGCGUGAGUGAUGACGGCCUUCGGGUUGUAAAGCUCUGUUAAUCGGGACGAAAGGCCUUCUUGCGAACAGUUAGAAGGAUUGACGGUACCGGAAUAGAAAGCCACGGCUAACUACGUG
rnacentral:rRNA from 1 species